UCUGCCGACGGCGGUGAGGACGGCGUGACCGCGCUCGCCAAGAAGAAACGCCCGGCCCCUCCCCGGGCCCACCAGCCAGCCCCUCCUGACACUGCAGGUACCGGGGACACGGGAGCUUGGGACCCAGGCGAAGGCAACCUGCCCAAACCACACUCUGGGCCCUUCUGCGUCCCAGUGAGCACCCAGGAGGAGGCCCGAGCUGCCUCCCCCCCCGCUGCCCCGCCCCCAACUCCCCCUGCCUCUGUACCCCCCACCCUGUCCUCCUGGUGCUCCCAAGGCCCGUGCUGACUGCAUCCCGCACGGUCCCCAGGACCCCGCGUCCCAGAACAUGGGCAGGCUCAGACGGCGGGAAGGCCAACACCUGCACCAGCUCUGAGCAGAGAGCCCGCCCGGGGACAGGCCCCGGUAGUGAGGAGGGGUGCGAGGGGCCCGCGGGGCCCAGAGUCCUGCUCCAAGCAGUCCCUCCCACCGGCCAUGCCCUGGGCGACAGGGCACGGGAGAACUGAGCCCGAGGCCCUGUUUCUAGCCGUAUCUUCUAUCUUCUGUUAAUCGUCGUUACGUGCAUCGUGCUAACGACGAGACGCGCAUCUGUUCGUGAGAAACAUUACGUGCACGUACACGUACGCUGCGUGUGAACAGACAUGGGUGCGGGGCCCGCACGCCAUCUUGGCACUCAACGCCGAGACCCCGUUCUCCUCCUGGUGGGCUGUGUGCACCAAGCGAGGCCCUGCCAUCAGUCCCCAUGUGGGACGCUCCGGCAGCUUCCUGACCAAGGUUUCCCGAGGACCACUGCUGACCCCGCAGUCGGCGGGCCGGCCCACGCUGUCGCCCUCCACGGUGGGUAUCCCCGGCUUCUGGCGUUGCUCUUGAAAGUCGGACACCACGCUGAGGGCUAGUCUUCGGGACGCGUCCAGUCUUUAUUCUUCUGGGGAUUUCACGGGCUCCUCUGGCCCACGGUCUCCACACGGCAGCGCUGGGCUUCUCUGUGCAAGUGCAGCCACGGAACUGCUCAGCCAUCGGCCACGCUUGCCAGCACCUCGGGGCAGGGCUUAAAACAACGAAGAAGGAUUCUGGACGGUGACUAUACGUGGCCCACAAAGGCUACAUUAUCUACCACCUGGCCCUUUACAGAGAAGUCUGUCGCCCCAGGAUCUGCGUCCUCCAACAUCCGGCUCUCGUGCGGGAAGCGAGUGGGUGCUCAGUCUGCCAGGCUGGCUCGUGGUGGGACAGAUGGCCACGUCCUCCAGCCUCUGCCUGGGUGUCACUGACGCCAGCGUUGUCCGGUCAGCCCCCUCUGACAAAGAGCACGGGGCCUCCCGCAAGCAGCAGGUUCUCUGUCCUCCCUCAGAAGCCCUCCUUUUCAGGAUGACACUUCUGGUGUCAGGAUGACACCCUGUCUUAAAUGUUCCAGAAGUAAGCACAGGUGUUCGGCCAGCGCAGGGGGAGGGCCGGCCUGGCCAUGCGGGAAGGGGCCGCCGAGAUCCGAAGCGCACACAGAAACCGCACAGACGUGAAGCACGACAGCCUGUGUUCCCAGCGCAGGACAAGAGCGGGGAGCGUGUGGCCGCGCGAGGAGGCCCCUGCCGAGCAGGCCUGUCCUCUGCUGCAGCCCCGCUUGGCCCGCUCUUGGUUUCCAGACCCCGGGAAUCACCACCUGUGCCCCUCUGGGCCUGUGGCUCAGCCUCGUAUUUAACGUUGGCCUGGGCCUGGGCAUUCACGCUGCUGUGUGGAAUUUCACUGCGAGGAAUUUUCUCGAUUUUUUUCAAGAUUUCAAGUAUUUACUAUACGCAGGCCGAAGGCUCGAACUCACAACCCCAGGAUCAAGAGCCGUACGCUCCACGGACCUUCAGUCCCCGCCGGCCCUGUUCUCGAGGCUCCACAUCUUCCGUGGGCAGUCACCCCCUGGCCUCCGCUUUCCGGCCCCCGUGGUGUUUCUCCGCCCCGGGCCUGCUUGGUCCCUGUGGGCUUACGCUUUGCUUUUGUGGAGUGGUAUUUGGGGAGGAGGCCAAAAGCACAGGUUCAGGUUGCAAUCCGUAUGCAGAGGUCCCCGUUUUCUGCAUUGUCUCUAGUGAAUUCCUGCUACGCUUUUAGAAUUAAAAGAACAAAAUCAAGUAACUCAAAAGACACUGGAACAAGCCGUGGCUCCCAGCACAUGGCAGAUUCUGUCUCUGCCGAACCAUCACCGGCCGUGGGACCGGGGCUUAGCCAGCAGGAAGCAGCGGUCACUGGAGGUUGAAAUGAGACAACGCGCUCCGCGGGUCACACCUCAGAGGUGCUCGGCAAGGCAGCCGCGGCCACCAUUACUAAGAGCGACAGUGACAACACCCAGAUUUCUGUGCCGCGUCCCUGAGUGGAGGGGAACUGCUCCGGUUUUACAGCAGACGGGAAGGUCCACCGUCCCCCCAGACUCGCAUCACCCCUCGGCACACGCGGUGUCCUGCAGGCAGGGAAGGACACACUGGUUUCAUUGAUCAUCGGUGACGACCGUCCGGUAGCUCCCGCGGGAGGGCACCGUGCCGUACUCGCUUCCUGUCGUUUUUCCCACAAAUGACCGUGCGCGCAUCCUCUGCGGUUCUGGGGGCUCAGACCCCGAGCCGGCGUCGGACCCACACCUGGGACUCAGCAAGGCUCCUGUGGGUCGUGCGAAUUCAGUUCCUUGUGACGACAGGACGUAAGUUCCCCUUUCUGCACUGGCCCGCAGCUGAGGGCUAUUCCCAGCUUGCGGAGGCCACGACGCCCCC